UACAGAGGUCUCAAGCGUUGUUCGGAUUCAUUGGGCGUAAAGGGUGUGUAGGUGGCGCGCUAAGUCGGGUGUGAAAUUUCGGAGCUUAACUCCGAAACUGCAUUCGAUACUGCGGUGCUUGAGGACUGGAGAGGAGACUGGAAUUUACGGUGUAGCAGUGAAAUGCGUAGAGAUCGUAAGGAAGACCAGUGGCGAAGGCGGGUCUCUGGACAGUUCCUGACACUGAGGCACGAAGGUCAGGGGAGCAAACGGG
rnacentral:rRNA from 1 species